UACAGAGGGUGCGAGCGUUAAUCGGAAUUACUGGGCGUAAAGCGUGCGUAGACGGUUAUCUAAGUCGGAUGUGAAAGCCCUGGGCUCAACCUGGGAACGGCAUUGGAAACUGGCUUACUAGAGUGCGGUAGAGGGGUGUGGAAUUCCCGGUGUAGCAGUGAAAUGCGUAGAUAUCGGGAGGAACAUCUGUGGCGAAGGCGACACCCUGGACCAGCACUGACACUGAGGCACGAAAGCGUGGGGAGCAAACAGG
rnacentral:rRNA from 1 species